CCCUGCGUUCGUAAGUGAUCAGGGAUACCCAUGCCCUGACCAUUGGUAGUGCAGGCAGAGGAAAUGUGGAAAGAACUGUCCCGUGCUUGGAAGGUCCACACCCAUGCCUUCCAAUGCUGGGAGCUUUCCCACA
rnacentral:snoRNA from 7 species